AUUGAACGCUGGCGGCAGGCCUAACACAUGCAAGUCGAGCGGAUGAAGGGAGCUUGCUCCUGGAUUCAGCGGCGGACGGGUGAGUAAUGCCUAGGAAUCUGCCUGGUAGUGGGGGAUAACGUCCGGAAACGGGCGCUAAUACCGCAUACGUCCUGAGGGAGAAAGUGGGGGAUCUUCGGACCUCACGCUAUCAGAUGAGCCUAGGUCGGAUUAGCUAGUUGGUGGGGUAAAGGCCUACCAAGGCGACGAUCCGUAACUGGUCUGAGAGGAUGAUCAGUCACACUGGAACUGAGACACGGUCCAGACUCCUACGGGAGGCAGCAGUGGGGAAUAUUGGACAAUGGGCGAAAGCCUGAUCCAGCCAUGCCGCGUGUGUGAAGAAGGUCUGCGGAUUGUAAAGCACUUUAAGUUGGGAGGAAGGGCAGUAAGUUAAUACCUUGCUGUUUGGACGUGACCAACAGAAUAAGCACCGGCGAACUUCGU
rnacentral:rRNA from 1 species